rnacentral:rRNA from 1 species
UAGGGAAUCUUCCACAAUGGACGCAAGUCUGAUGGAGCAACGCCGCGUGAGUAAAGAAGGUUUUCGGAUCGUAAAGCUCUGUUGUUGGUGAAGAAGGAUAGAGGCGGUAACUGGUCUUUAUUUGACGGUAAUCAACCAGAAAGUCACGGCUAACUACGUGCCAGCAGCCGCGGUCAUACGUAGGUGGCAAGCGUUGUCCGGAUUUAUUGGGCGUAAAGCGAGCGCAGGCGGAAUGAUAAGUCUGAUGUGAAAGCCCACGGCUCAACCGUGGAACUGCAUCGGAAACUGUCAUUCUUGAGUGCAGAAGAGGAGAGUGGAAUUCCAUGUGUAGCGGUGGAAUGCGUAGAUAUAUGGAAGAACACCAGUGGCGAAGGCGGCUCUCUGGUCUGCAACUGACGCUGAGGCUCGAAAGCAUGGGUAGCGAACAGG